UAUGGCUUUUUAUUCCUAUGUGAGGGUAUGCAGUGUUGCGUAGGGGUGAAAGCCAUUGA
rnacentral:pre_miRNA from 1 species